rnacentral:rRNA from 1 species
CGCGAACGCUGUCGGCGUGCCUAACACAUGCAAGUCGUGGGGCAGCAGGCCAGUUCCUUCGGGAACUGGUGCUGGCGACCGGCGAACGGGUGAGUAACGCGUGAGCAACCUACCCCGAGGAGGGGGAUAACCCGGGGAAACCCGGGCUAAUACCCCAUAAGCGCACGGCCUGCAUGGGCUGUGUGAAAAGGGUGGCCUCUGCAUAGCAAGCUGCCGCCUCGGGAUGGGCUCGCGUCCCAUCAGGUAGUUGGUGAGGUAACGGCUCACCAAGCCUACGACGGGUAGCCGGCCUGAGAGGGUGGUCGGCCACACCGGGACUGAGACACGGCCCGGACUCCUACGGGAGGCAGCAGUGGGGAAUCUUGGGCAAUGGGCGCAAGCCUGACCCAGCGACGCCGAGUGGAGGAAGAAGCCCUUCGGGGUGUAAACUCCUGUCGCCGGGGACGAUGCGGGUGGGGGUUAAGAGCCCCCGCCCGUGACGGUACCCGGAGAGGAAGGGACGGCUAACUACGUGCCAGCAGCCGCGGUAAUACGUA